UACGUAGGGGGCAAGCGUUGUCCGGAUUUAUUGGGCGUAAAGAGCGUGUAGGCGGCUAGGUAGGUCCGUUGUGAAAACUCGAGGCUCAACCUCGAGACGUCGAUGGAAACCAUCUAGCUAGAGUCCGGAAGAGGAGAGUGGAAUUCCUGGUGUAGCGGUGAAAUGCGUAGAGAUCAGGAAGAACACCGGUGGCGAAGGCGGGUCUCUGGGCCGAUACUGACGCUGAGGAGCGAAAGCGUGGGGAGCGAACAGG
rnacentral:rRNA from 1 species